GUGGGCUGGGCUGGGCUGGGCC
rnacentral:miRNA from 2 species